GAACUGCGAUAAGUAAUGUGAAUUGCAGAAUUCAGUGAAUCAUCGAGUCUUUGAACGCACAUUGCGCCCCCUGGCAUUCCGGGGGGCAUGCCUGUCCGAGCGUCAUUGCUGCCCUUCAAGCCCGGCUUGUGUGUUGGGUCGUCGUCCCCUCCGGGGGACGGGCCCGAAAGGCAGCGGCGGCACUGCGUCCGGUCCUCGAGCGUAUGGGGCUUUGUCACCCGCUCGAUAAGGACCGGCCGGGCGCCAGCCGGCGUCUCCAACCUUUUUUUCUCAGGUUGACCUCGGAUCAGGUAGGGAUACCCGCUGAACUUAAGC
rnacentral:misc_RNA from 1 species